UUGUUUUUUAAUUAUUUUAUCUUUUAAUAAUUUUUUUUUUGUUAUGAAUAAAUUUUUGUUCUAGUAUCUUUUGGAGAAUAGAUUUUUUUUAUUAUAGUUUAUUGUACUGUGAAGGGUUUUAUUUUUUAUAGGUAAAGAAGGCUUUAUUUGUUGUACCUUUUGUAUCAGGGUUUAUUAAUUUUUUAAUACUUAUUUAUUUUUCCCGAAAUUAGAAGAGUUACAUUUUAAUGUUUUUUAACGUUUCAUAGUUAUUUAUAAUUUAAUUGUAGAUGAGAUAUUCUAUUCAAUUUUAAAUAUCUGGUUUCUUAAUAUAUGAAUUUAAUUCAGGUUAAUUUUUUAUUUUUCUUACUUUAAUUAGGAUAAUAUUUUAUUUUCUAAUACUCUUGGGGAUAAGCUCGGGUUUAUUUUUAAAACUUAUAUUUAUUUGGAAUGGUUUGUAGGCUUAAUACCAGCCAUCUUUAUAUUUCGUUAUAGUUUAUUUUUUCUUAUUUUAAUUUUUAUUUGUUUAGUUUAUUAUUAAGGGUUGGGUUUUAAUUUUUUAUUCUUUUAUAAUGAUAAAAUUAGUAUUGUUGUUAAUUAAAUUAUAGGAAUUCGGCAAAUUUUAUUUCCGCCUGUUUAACAAAAACAUGUCCUUUAGUUAUUUAUUUGAGGUUUGACCUGCCCAAUGAUUUUUUAAUGGCCGCGGUAUAUUAACCGUGCAAAGGUAGCAUAAUCAUUUGUCUCUUAAUUGGAGGCUGGAAUGAAUGGUUGGACGAGAAAUAUGCUUUCUUUUUUUUAUUUUAUGAAUUUUAUUUUCUAGUUAAAAAGCUGGAAUUUUUUUGUAGGACGAGAAGACCCUAUAGAAUUUUAUAGUUUUUGUAAUGUCAUCUCUUUUGGUUUAUUAUUGGAUUUCAUUUAUUAUCUAUUUUGUUGGGGCGACAGGUAAAUUUUUUUAACUUUUCUUUUUUUCUUUCAUUAAUUUAUGUUUUUAUGAUCCGUUUAUUUACGAUUAAAAGAUUAAAUUACCUUAGGGAUAACAGCGUUAUUUUUUUGGAGAGUUCUUAUCGAUAAAGGAGUUUGCGACCUCGAUGUUGAAUUAAGAUUAGUCUUGGGGGUAGUUUUUCAAGUUACUAGGUCUGUUCGACCUUUAAAUUCUUACAUGAUUUGAGUUCAGACCGGCGUGAGCCAGGUUGGUUUCUAUCCUUAAUUUUAUUUAAGCUUUUUAGUACGAAAGGACCAAUGGCUUGGAAUAAUUUUUGUUUUUAUUGAUUGUUAUU
rnacentral:rRNA from 1 species